rnacentral:rRNA from 1 species
UACGAAGGGGGCUAGCGUUGCUCGGAAUGACUGGGCGUAAAGGGCGCGUAGGCGGUUCGUAUAGUCAGGCGUGAAAUUCCCGGGCUUAACCUGGGGGCUGCGUUUGAUACGUACGGGCUUGAGUUCGGAAGAGGGUCGUGGAAUUCCCAGUGUAGAGGUGAAAUUCGUAGAUAUUGGGAAGAACACCGGUGGCGAAGGCGGCGACCUGGUCCGAUACUGACGCUGAGGCGCGAAAGCGUGGGGAGCAAACAGG